rnacentral:tRNA from 1 species
UAGUUCAGGUGGUAGAGCAUGGCGGUUGUAACGUCAGGGUUGUGGGUUCGAUUCCCAC